UCGGAUGUGAAAGCCCAGGGCUUAACCCUGGAAUUGCAUUCGAUACUGCCGAGCUAGAGUAUGUUAGAGGAAAGUGGAAUUCCCGGUGUAGCGGUGAAAUGCGUAGAUAUUGCCAGGAACACCGGUGGCGAAGGCGCCUUGCUGGCCUGAUACUGACGCUGAUGCGCGAAAGCGUGGGGAGCGAACGGGAUUAGAUACCCCGGUAGUCCA
rnacentral:rRNA from 1 species